GCUCCGUGGACUGCAAAUAGGGCUUCCGAUUUGGUGGUACUUUCCCAGCCCGUGCUUGUCGGGGGUGGCCCCGUUUAAAUAAUUUGUUUGAGAGGAAAGUUGAUGGCACUCCCCUUCCUCUAGCCAUAAACCGAGAGUGGUAUGGUCCACUCGUCUGCGUACUGCGCUUGCGCUCAAGGAAAUGGUGAGCUAAGGAAGGGGAGGAUGAAAAAGGAGAUCCGAGCAAAGCUCGCUGGGUAGCGGUGGUUGGUAGUGCGCGUGCGCAUGAGUUGUCGGUGAAGCGUGAGAGAAAACCGUUGCACAAUAUGGCGGGGACGGGGGGGGAGGGCAAAGUUAUAUUGAAGCGCAUGCGCAAUAGCCGAAGCGUUUCUGUGAGCAUGUGACAGAAGCAACCUCCGUCUAAGGAAGAUGGUAGUGAGAGGACCUGGCAGUGAGAGGACUGCUUUAGAGAGCCAAAUAACAACUUCAGAAGAAAAGGUUUCACACAGGUCACACAUCUUGCCAAAAGAUGUCGGCUGCUGGGCUGACGACCGUGAUUGACGAACAGAAACAGACUUGGGAGUACUUUGCUUUCUUUUGGAUCUGCAGUCCUUUGCAAAAUGUCCUUGCUUAUUGCAGAACCAACAACGCUUGGCAGCUUUAAAUGCAGUUGUGUCACCACAAGUUUGCAUAUGGUGUUCCUCAUUAUUUCUGGAAAUAGGAGUGCUUAUGGCACAAGCCUCCCUUCUAUCCAACUUGCCCAUUAAUCUUGCCGUUACUCCUUCCACA